GACGAACGCUGGCGGCGUGCCUAAUACAUGCCAGUAGAACGCUGAAGGAGGAGCUUGCUUCUCUGGAUGAGUUGCGAACGGGUGAGUAACGCGUAGGUAACCUGCCUGGUAGUGGGGGAUAACUAUUGGAAACGAUAGCUAAUACCGCAUAAUAGCAGUUGUUGCAUGAUAACUGUUUGAAAGGUGCAAUUGCACCGCUACCAGAUGGACCUGCGUUGUAUUAGCUAGUUGGUGGGGUAACGGCUCACCAAGGCGACGAUACAUAGCCGACCUGAGAGGGUGAUCGGCCACACUGGGACUGAGACACGGCCCAGACUCCUACGGGAGGCAGCAGUAGGGAAUCUUCGGCAAUGGACGGAAGUCUGACCGAGCAACGCCGCGUGAGUGAAGAAGGUUUUCGGAUCGUAAAGAUCUGUUGUAAGAGAAGAACGAGUGUGAGAGUGGAAAGUUCACACUGUGACGGUAUCUUACCAGAAAGGGACGGCUAACUACGUG
rnacentral:rRNA from 1 species